GCCGAGCGCUGGGCUGAGGAGCAGAGAGAGCGGGGCGCGGAGUGCGGGCGGCUGGGAGCGCGCUGAGCGGGGGAGAGGCGCUGCCGCACGGCCGGCCACAGGACCACCUCCCCGGAGAAUAGGGCCUCUUUAUGGCAUGUGGCUGGUAACUUUCCUCCUGCUCCUGGACUCUUUACACAAAGCCCGCCCUGAAGAUGUCGGCACCAGCCUCUACUUUGUAAAUGACUCGUUGCAGCAGGUGACAUUUUCCAGCUCCGUGGGGGUGGUGGUGCCCUGCCCGGCCGCCGGCUCCCCCAGCGCAGCCCUUCGAUGGUACCUGGCCACGGGGGACGACAUCUACGACGUGCCGCACAUCCGGCACGUCCACGCCAACGGGACGCUGCAGCUCUACCCCUUCUCCCCCUCCGCCUUCAAUAGCUUUAUCCACGACAAUGACUACUUCUGCACCGCGGAGAACGCUGCCGGCAAGAUCCGGAGCCCCAACAUCCGCGUCAAAGCAGUUUUCAGGGAACCCUACACCGUCCGGGUGGAGGAUCAAAGGUCAAUGCGUGGAAACGUGGCCGUCUUCAAGUGCCUCAUCCCCUCUUCAGUGCAGGAAUACGUUAGCGUUGUGUCUUGGGAGAAAGACACAGUCUCCAUCAUCCCAGGUAAGGAAGAACCACGGGGCGGCGGCCGACAGCGGUGAUGGGCAGCGGGUGGGCAAGGUGGCGGUGCCUGAGCUGGUUGUUGAGCUAAACAAGACCCUGAGAUUGGUUCUGGUGAGUGACUUGUUAUUGUUCCGGUGAUACUUCGGCCAAAAAAGCGUCUUGGGUCUCGGUCUGGCGCAUCUCGGUGGGGUGGUGAAGGCCUCCGUGAGUGGCCUGGGCUGGCUGUGUGAAGGUCCCGUUGGACUCGGGGUGCGGCAGGGGCCCCGUCCUUCCUGACUGCUGGGGUUUGGCUGGCCCUGGCCCUGGCGGACGAGAGGCUGGGCUGUGGCCCGUGUUUCUGCAUUCGGAGCGCUGAGCACUGGCUCCUUGGGGACCAGCCUUGUGCUAAAAAGCACAUGGGGCUUUUUCCUUUCCUUUCCUUGUCCUUUGUGCACGAGUUGGCUAAAGACUCUAUCAGAAUUCUAGCCAGCAGCAUCCGGAGGCUGACGUGGAGAGACGGGUGUAAAACCAUGGUGGAGGUUGGUCUCAUUACAGCUGCCGCGAUUGUGAGUUCUUCGUUGUUGGUUCCUUUUGCCUCUUCACGGUUGUCCCUCCAACAGGAAAACAGGUCUGGAAACCCCAAGAGAGGACCUCAAGUCCUUAAAAUACCUCUAGGCCUCCGACGAGUUACAGCUACAAAACUCUGGGGUUUUUCCACCACGGCUCCCUCAUCCCCACGCAUUGCAGAGGUUCUGUCGCUUUGUUCCUUCCUUUCUCUGGCAAGGACCUUUGUUUUCCUUUCUGUGAAAUGGGGGAACUUGACCAGGUGCCCUCUGAGUGCCCCUCAGCACUGAGGUCGCGUGGCUGGUGGUAUGAAAUGACCGUUGUCCUCAAGGUGUGGGGGUUAGUCGGGGGACGCAUGGAGCCUUGAAAGCAGGGGUUCUUGGCCUGCGACUCAUUCGAAUCCCUGAAUGAUUCGAAAUACCAAUGCUCGGGCCCAGCCUCAAGUCAGCGGAUUCAGAAUCCCUCAGGAGCAGAACCUGGGCAUCAGUGUCUCCAGUGCUCCCCCCGUGGUUCCGAUGUAUAACUAGGACAAGAACCAACGCCUGGGCGUGUUGACAGCUCACAUGGCGGGGGCCUUUCUUUGAGAUGUUACUUUGUGUUUUGCUUUCGGUACUUUUUCCUUCUCUCAGUUCCAGGCAGAUGGCCAGGCCGUUAUAUAUCCUGGCUCCAGAGCGUGUAGUGGGACAGGAAUCCAAAGCUACUUGAAGACAGCUGCUCUUCCUGUCUGUUGUAAAACCACAGGCUAAUAGGAGAGGUUGGGAAGGGUGUCUUGCCUGGGGAGCGGGGCCUCUGAGGGGAAGGAGCUACAGGAGACAAAAGGAUGGCAGAGGUGGGUGGUGCUGUGGGCUGCUCGGAGGGCACAGCGGAAGAAGCGGUUGGACCCCACAAGGGUGGCGUGUGGGACCCGUAGGGACUGAGGGCCAGGGGUCUUGUGUCCGAAUGAAGCACGGGGUGCACUGCCAAGGCCCAGAGGGACCAUGCAGGUGGGGAUCAGGGGCUGCUGGGAACCAGAGAGGCCCUGGACCUUAGCACACCCCUGAGGGAAACCCUAAUAGUGAUGGACACAGUCUCCUGGCUAUCUAGAAAAGUCAGAUUGAAGGUAAUUUAAACAACAGCAAGAAAUGUGGUAUUUCUUGUACACUUGAGUUUAUGGACUAAGCAUUAUAUCCAUGAAAAUAGUAAUUGCUGUUAUGUUAAAAUUUGGGGGGUGCUGACUAUAUGUCAGGCACUAGGCUAAGAAACAUUCAUAUGCGAUCUCACUUUAUCAUCGCAAAAAGUCCCUAAGUACGUUUCCAUCCUCCACUUUACAAACGAGGAAACUGAGGCUCAAAGUAAAGUAAUUUGUUCUGGGUCACAGGUCUCUUACGCAGAGGGUGGGGGCUUGAACCCAGGCAAUGAGGACUUUGGCCUCAGGAAGGUGGAAAAAAAUCAAUGUUUGUUGAUUGUUUUAGGGACGUCUUCACGAAACCACGUCCAGUGUUGUGAUUAAAAGCCUAGAAUGUUGGACAAGAGACCGCCUGGGUUUGAAACUCACUCCAUUGCUCUCUGGCUGGGCAAGUUAUUUACACUCUCAGUUUCUCCAACUGUAAAAUGGAUUCAUAGGGUUUGAGUGAGGAUGAAAUGAGUUAAUAUGUGAGCAAUGUUUACAAACGCUAUCGGACACACACUGAGGCCAGGUUGUAGCAAUUGCUAGGUGGAAGACAUCAUACUCCUCUUUGUACUUGCUGUCCCUUGUUGUGGGGUCUGUGUUUCUACUGUGUAACAGAGUCUGUGACCCUCACAAGACCUCGGGGUGGGAACUGGGUUAUCUUCCCAAGGGUAGGAACUGGGUUAUCUUCAUCCACCCAGCCCUGGCUCCUUCUGCACUCCAGAUAAAUGUUCACUGAACGAUCAGUGAGUGGAUGAAUGGCCGGCUGGAAGAAUUCCGAAGGAAUCUGGGAACAGCAUGGGCAGGGGCAUUGAAAUCAGGCUGGGCAGGUCGGGGUGGGUGGGACUAGCAGAUGGGUUAGGAGAGGAGGAAGGAUAGCAGGCUCCUGUGCUUAGGAGCUGGAGGCUGUGAGCUUCCCCCAGGCGGCCCUUGGAGUUGGGGCUUCAGGGCUGUCUUUGAUGUGGAGACUGGGCUGGUGGCCCCAAAGGGCAUAAUUAUCAGGGAAGUGGCCUUGAUGCUAAUCUUCAGGCUGUGUUAAACUUUGGUUCUGUAGAACCCUUUUCUUUCCUUUGGCCUUGGAGAAUUUUCCUCUUCUGCCCAGCCCUCCAGCCCCAUCGGUAAUCAUUCUAGAUUCUUCUAUAGCUACAUGUUAGAUCCAGGGACAGUCUUCCCAAAGCACGCGAUUCCAACUAACAUGCUCCCAGAGGAAUCGAUGAGAGCCAGAGAGAGUGGAGUUUUGCUUCCUCUAGGCUUUGUAGGUGAGAGACCAGAACUUGGGCCCACAUGCUACAUGCUUUAAUUUUGGAAAAUGCAAAUAGUUUGAUCUUUUAUAAAAAUAGGAUUUUUUUCCCUGCUAUCCAUAUUCACACUAUACCCAGUGUGUGUGCUCGUGUGUGUGUGCUCGUGUGUGUGUGUGUAUUUUGAGGUGGGGAGGCUGUAUGGACGGCAGCUUCUCACAGUGGGGGCGGAUUUAAUGAUCAGUUGCCCUGAAGGUUAAGGAAGGAUGGAGGAGCCAGAGUUACUUCCCUCUGACACUUCAGGGUCUCCUUCUGGAACACGGGGGACUGUGUUGACUUUGAUCUCUGGGACAGUAGGGCUGGGCUCAAAUUAUUCCCAAACCACAGGGCCUGCAACAGCGGGUUGCUGGAAAGCAGGAAGAGGGACAGGGAGACUGACAUGGGCCAUCCCGGCCCCAGGAGGUCCCCCCUUGGAGAAAGCAGGUGCCCUGGGAGGAGGGGGCCCCUGCAAGGGUGCAGGCCCCUGCGAAUGGGAACCAGCCCACCUACACCUUUUUCUCAGGGAGUCUGGGAAGAAUUAAAGGCUUGGGACCCAAGAAAGGUCCGAGCGUUGGGUAUUUGCUCACAGGUUAGCCUUCCCGGCACUGUGGCUGUCCUGGAACUGGUGGAAUCUCCAAGCAGCUUUUUGGCAAUGCUUUUCCCAGGGUAGGGAGAGGCUGGAGAGACAGCCCGAAGUGCCACCUUUCUCAGAGCCACCAGCUAUACCCACCUCCGCUCACCUCCUCCACCUUCCCCCCUCAAGCUGGUCAUCUUCCUUCAAUCGGGCUAUUUAAACAAAUGCGUGUGAAGAACGGAGCCUCUCACCUGGGGUCUGGCAGGCUCCCAUCCCCAGUCGUCUCCUCCGGGACUUGGUCCUGGGGUGAACUGGCUCUCAAGGCAGGCAGGGGGUGGGGCGGGUGAGAGGGCCCAGGGCUGUGCACAAACACAAAUUAAAAUUAGGGCCUCCAGUGAAGCCGAGAUGCGGCUUAAUUUCCCAUCUGCAUGAUCACCAUUACAAUGCAUGUUACUGGAUAUAAAGAUAAAUCCGGCCCUGUUCCUAAUAGCUUUUAAUUUCCACCAGACCUGAUUAUAUCGAUGCGGGCUCCUUGUGGGAGUUUCCCAGCAUGCUCUUCCCCAGCAUCCUGACUGGCUGUCUUGGGGAGUUUUGGACGCUGCUCAGAUGCAAGUCAGAUGAGUCCACUGCUGCUCCGGAAGACGAGCCUGCAGCAGCCCCCUGUCCACGCGCACGGGGCUCUUGGAUGCUGGGUGUCAUCGGGCCUUG
rnacentral:lncRNA from 1 species